CCGGUAAACGGCGGCCGUAACUAUAACGGUCCUAAGGUAGCGAAAUUCCUUGUCGGGUAAGUUCCGACCUGCACGAAUGGCGUAAUGAUGGCCAGGCUGUCUCCACCCGAGACUCAGUGAAAUUGAACUCGCUGUGAAGAUGCAGUGUACCCGCGGCAAGACGGAAAGACCCCGUGAACCUUUACUAUAGCUUGACACUGAACAUUGAGCCUUGAUGUGUAGGAUAGGUGGGAGGCUUAGAAGUGUGGACGCCAGUCUGCAUGGAGCCGACCUUGAAAUACCACCCUUUAAUGUUUGAUGUUCUAACGUUGACCCGUGAUCCGGGUUGCGGACAGUGUCUGGUGGGUAGUUUGACUGGGGCGGUCUCCUCCUAAAGAGUAACGGAGGAGCACGAAGGUUGGCUAAUCCUGGUCGGACAUCAGGAGGUUAGUGCAAUGGCAUAAGCCAGCUUGACUGCGAGCGUGACGGCGCGAGCAGGUGCGAAAGCAGGUCAUAGUGAUCCGGUGGUUCUGAAUGGAAGGGCCAUCGCUCAACGGAUAAAAGGUACUCCGGGGAUAACAGGCUGAUACCGCCCAAGAGUUCAUAUCGACGGCGGUGUUUGGCACCUCGAUGUCGGCUCAUCACAUCCUGGGGCUGAAGUAGGUCCCAAGGGUAUGGCUGUUCGCCAUUUAAAGUGGUACGCGAGCUGGGUUUAGAACGUCGUGAGACAGUUCGGUCCCUAUCUGCCGUGGGCGCUGGAGAACUGAGGGGGGCUGCUCCUAGUACGAGAGGACCGGAGUGGACGCAUCACUGGUGUUCGGGUUGUCAUGCCAAUGGCACUGCCCGGUAGCUAAAUGCGGAAGAGAUAAGUGCUGAAAGCAUCUAAGCACGAAACUUGCCCCGAGAUGAGUUCUCCCUGACCCUUUAAGGGUCCUGAAGGAACGUUGAAGACGACGACGUUGAUAGGCCGGGUGUGUAAGCGCAGCGAUGCGUUGAGCUAACCGGUACUAAUGAACCGUGAGGCUUAACCUUACAACGCCGAAGCUGUU
rnacentral:rRNA from 1 species